UCACUUCAGCAGUAGAUAUACUAAAAUUGGAACGAUACAGAGACCAUUAGCAUGGCCCCUGCACGAGGAUGACACACAAAUUCAUGAAGCAUUCCAUAUUUUU
rnacentral:snRNA from 1 species